GACAAUACAGAUUUAGCAUAUCCGAUUCAUGAUUUUGACAAUACAACUUUUGAAUUCAAAUCUUAAAAUGAAUAGUGGCAGAAAUACACAACUUCCACUCAGUAUUUCUAUUCAAAUUAUAAGUAAAUCUCCAUAUUCAUGUACAAAUCAAAAGAAAAUCUACAUCACCAUGUGAAGAUCAAUAAUCCGAUGAAGUUUGUGUGGUUUCUAAUUGUAAUCAAAUCUCUCUCUUCAUGUACAAAUCAAAAUCAAAUCUAGAUCACCAUGUGUAGAUCAACAAUCCGAUGAAGUUUGUAUGGUUAUCAGUGGUCAAAUACGUAAUUCAUGGAAAACAAAUAGUUCUUUUUCUUAUAUUCUAGCUAAUUUUUCUUUUUAAAAUAUUUAGAUAUUCAUAUUUUUUUUUACAUAAUUUGUGUUUAAAUUUGUGGUUAUCAUUAACAGAAUCCAUUGAUGAUAUAUAAAAUAAUGCAUUGAGAGGACAUGGCAGAAGAGAAUUGGGUUGAUUAUCAAGAACUUUCUAACUUAUGCUUUUUGGAUUCUCUCUUCUAGGGUUUUGAUAGUUGCAUACAUAACCAUCUAAAUACCUUUCCACUCUAUUUUUCCCUCAAAUUGAAGCAGCAAUUGACAUCGAUCAAUGUGGUUUGUCAAUACAUCAAUUUUGAUUAGAGACGUAAAGUUUUAUUUUGCCAUAUUUAUUUGAUUUUGUGUUGAUACUAUUGUCUAUUCAGUAAUUUAGAACCUAAUCAUUUUAGAAUUCUUCUUCAAGUCUAUUGUUGAUUUCUGAUCCAUGCUCAAGUGCUAUCCAUGGGUCGUAAUUCAUACAAUAUUUGGGCCUGCUAGAAGUCAUGUAGAGCUCCUCGUCCUGGCAUGUUCCCCGCUUCAUCUAUGUUUCUUUUUCUUUACUUUUUUUUUGAGAUACACGAUUGUCUAUUCAUACUUUAUGAAAGUUUUUGAAUUGCUCUUACUCAUUACACUAGAUUGUUGGGGAUUUGAGUUGUUUUAUU
rnacentral:lncRNA from 1 species